rnacentral:ncRNA from 1 species
UCGUUACUACCAAUUGAAUGGCUUAGUGAGGUAUUCGGACUGGUCCAGGGAGGGGGCAACUACAGCCCAGGACCGGAAAGUUCUCCAAACUUGGUCAUUUAGAGAAAGUCAAAGU